rnacentral:rRNA from 1 species
GUAGGGUGCAAGCGUUAAUCGGAAUUACUGGGCGUAAAGCGUGCGCAGGCGGUUAUGCAAGACAGAGGUGAAAUCCCCGGGCUCAACCUGGGAACUGCCUUUGUGACUGCAUGGCUAGAGUACGGUAGAGGGGGAUGGAAUUCCGCGUGUAGCAGUGAAAUGCGUAGAUAUGCGGAGGAACACCGAUGGCGAAGGCAAUCCCCUGGACCUGUACUGACGCUCAUGCACGAGAGCGUGGGGAGCAAACAGGAUUAGAUACCCUGGUAGUCCCACGCCCUAAACGAUGUCAACUGGUUGUUGGGAGGGUUUCUUCUCAGUAACGUAGCUAACGCGUGAAGUUGACCCGCCUGGGAGUACGGCCGCAAGGUUG